rnacentral:lncRNA from 1 species
UUACCUAGUCAUACAAACUAGAUGUCGUCAGGACAGUUCACGGAGGGCGAACUUGAGUCGCGACACACAAAACUUGGUUCUUUUAUAUAAUUGAACCUAUAGUAUCUAUACAUUAUAGGGGGUCAAAAUGAAUUUUCCUAGCUUUCAGUGUUCUUAUUCUAAAGGAUGCCAUCUCCAAUUUAUCAAGUUGGAUAAGUUCUUCAAACUACUCUUGGGAGCCUUUCAUAGCUGGUGUACACCAGACGCCUUUUGUGUGUAUGAUUAAGUGCUGCCAAUUUAUUCGCUACUUUAUUUGCUUCAUGAAAACAAUAUUGCAGGACAAACUCUUUCUCCUCGAUUACCUGUUUGAUGGUGUCCACUGCUUGGAUCAUCCUCCAUGACGUCGUGGUCUUUCUAUUCAUACAUGAUGUUAGUAUCUGCAAAUCUGUCUCUACCUUGAUAUUAUCAAGAUCAUUUGCUUCACAUAAACCUUUAGCUUGUGCAUAUUUAUCCAUUAUAUGCACAAAUAUAAAUUAUCAUGCCAAACAUCUUUGUAAAGUUUAUAGAUCAUAUGCUUUCUGAUUAAUAAACAUUUAUUUUAGUAUUAACCACAUGCUAAAAUAACAAUUUUACUUUAAAAAUAAUAGUUAAAACUUAGGAUUAAAAAGAACAAACAUUUUUCUUCACCUUUGCAACCUUUUUUUUAGAGGAGCGAUCAUUUUAUUAACACUUUGAAUAGUUUUUAAAAAUUGCAUAAUUUAAGAUUUAAAAUAAUCUGAAUAAAAAUAUGCUGGAAAAAAAAAAGACACAUUGGUUAGUCAAGCAAAAUAAAGAAGAAGGGCUGAGAGCCGUGUGAGAAAUAGGAAAUUCAAGAGGACCAACAUGAUUACACACGUGGCAAUCUAGAAAGGCUGUUGAGGACAUGAAACGUGUAAAGUUGUUCAGCAAAAUUUUCCACAUGUCUACAACAAAAGUAAACUGUCACUUGUCUUCUAAGCAUAUUGGACAGCCAUUAAGCAGAGAUGUUGACCGGAUAACUCCCUAGCUAUUUUCUGUGCGGUCUUAGUCACAAUUCGUCCCUGUGAUGUGCUAAGUCAGCCUUUUCCCGAAAUAUUACCACAACAAAGCUAUGAGAAGCUAAGAAGAGAGCUUGCAAGAAUACUUUGUAUUAAACAAGAGAGAGCUUUAUACAAGUAUUGGAUUGCUUGAAUGUUUCUUGGAUGUAAAUGCCAAAUGCCUCUAGCCUAUUUAUAGUUGCUAGAGUCCCAAAUCAACGGCUAAGAUCUAUUCUAAUCAAUGGAUAAGAUCAAAGCUCUAGAGAAUUCUACAAAUCUCUACAAAUCUCUACACUUAGUAGAAUAUACAAGAGAAGUCUAGGUGGGUCU